rnacentral:rRNA from 1 species
GGGUCAGUAGGUUGGUCGUGCCACCGGUACGUACUGGUCUCACUGAUCCCUCCUUCCUGAAGAACCGUAAUGCCAUUAAUUUGGUGUUGCGGGGAAACAGGACUGUUACUUUGAAAAAAUUAGAGUGUUUAAAGCAAGCUAACGCUUGAAUACAUUAGCAUGGAAUAAUGAAAUAGGACGAUCGAUCCUAUUUUGUUGGUUUCUGGGAUUGACGUA